rnacentral:rRNA from 1 species
AGUUGUCCAUCAUUCAGUUGGGCACUCUAAAGAGACUGCCGGUAGUCAAACCGGAGGAAGGUGGGGAUGACGUCAAGUCCUCAUGGCCUUUAUGACCAGGGCUACACACGUACUACAAUGGCCGGUACAAAGGGCAGCCACUUAGCGAUAAGGAGCCAAUCCCGUAAAGCCGGUCUCAGUCCGGAUUGGAGUCUGCAACUCGACUCCAUGAAGUUGGAAUCGCUAGUAAUCGCAGAUCAGCACGCUGCGGUGAAUACGUUCCCGGGCCCU